CAGUGUCAGGACCUAGAAGGCACUCAACCAAGUGAAACUUUGGGCUGAGGCUGAAAGACACAUGCAGCAAGGCCAGAGACAAUAUGCCCCCUUAGGCCAGCAUUUAGGAAAUAUUCUCUAAUGCGUGAGUGUGGUGGUCAGGGUCAGACAGCUGCACUCAGCUUUCACGAUCUCCAGCUGUGUGACCUUGGGAGGGUUAUGUAACCUCUCUGAACCUCAGUUUCCUGACAGGCACAAUGCAGAUACUUUAAAAAAAAAUUUCAUAGUGAGAUUGAAAGGAUCAAGCUGUCAUUACUACUGUUAUUCUUGUUAUUUAAAAAGCUGUACAGGUCCAGGAAGGAAGGACUGUCUUGACAGGAAUUCAGACAAAAAAAGAUCCAGGGUUUUGGCCGAUCUCAAAUUAGUAUGAGGGUCUAAUAUGGAUGGUGAGAUCUGUGACAUACAAAAGAAGGGAGUGAUCCCUGGAGCCAACAUGGGUUCACCAAGACCGGGCACAGCUCUUAGGUUCUUGACAGCUUAGUGACUCGUGGGUAAAGAAAACGAGCCAGCAUGGGUGGAGAGGAAUCUGUGAUUUAUUGAGCACCAACUGUGUGCUGGAUACUUCACACACAUGGUUUUAUUUAAUCCUCACAAGCUUGUGGAUUAAACAAGACGUGACAAUCUCCAUUUUACUGAUGAGAAACUGAGUCUCCGGGAAGUGACUUGCCCAAGGUGGGUGGAGCUGGGAUUCAAACCUGGGUCUGUCUGACCCUUUCUGCCAUAUCACACUGUCUCCUAAGAUGUUGGGUAGAGUCUCUCAUGACUCUUGAGGACAUGAAGGAUGUCUGAGAGGGCACAAAGAGGGCUCCCAUUGGGCCAAACAACAGCCAUGAAAUGUUCACGUUAAGUGUAACCAGGUCAGUCUACAGAAGGCCUCUAGACACUGCCAUGGGGCUGUCUACCCUGCUUUGAUCAGUCUAUGCCAAGGACCUAUAAGAAGACAUGGAGGAUACAGACUUAUAAAAGGUGGAGUGGUAGAAAGCUCCAAGGGACAGAGAAAACCUCAGCAGAAUCAAGAUUUAGAAAGAUCUCGACAGACUGGCGUGGCAAGGUGAAUUUAGCUGAGGAAAUAUCACAGGGAAAAAUGCUGAGGCCCAUCUUGACUACAGGAAAAAUUGUAGAAGGGAUGGGCAGCUCAUGAGAAAGAUUUAGAAGCUCAAGUGCCAGUAAGUUCAGCAUGAGUCAGUAGGCUACAUUAAUAGAAGUAUGGUGUUUGGGACAAGGGAGGGGGGCCUCUCUCUAGCCUCAGUUUACUCUCUGCCCUGGGGCAGUUUGUACUGCACAUAUUUGAAGGUCAUGUGCUAUUUUCUGUUUUUCCAGUUCUCUCCCUUUCUUUUCAAGUUCUUAGGGGAGGCAGAGUCCUUCUGGAGUUUGACCCUUGGAUUCUAUCCAGAGCAGCGUCCAAAAUGACACCUUUGAAGUUGUGUAUCGAGCUGGGGGAUGUAAAGGGAGGAGAAGAAAGAAGAUGAAGAGAUACCAGCCAGCCUUGAGGAGUGGACAUCCUGCCUGGUGAAACUGAACAAGACACCGACCGCAUAUGGAGUUUCGCUCUGUCGCCCAGGCUGGAGUGCAGUGGUGCCAUCUUGGCUCACCGCAACCUCCACCUCCAGGUUCAAGUGAUUCUCCUGCCUCAGCCUCUCAAGUAGCUGGGAUUACAGGAGCCCUCUCCCACCGCUCCUACACUGCUGGUAAAAGGCAGCCGCACUGCCUGCUGGAAGACCUGCCAGCUUGGGCUUCAGAGCACUUCUGCCUCAGAUCCACGACGAUCCCUUCUGUCAUCGUGGGACCUUUCCUGGGAUUUGAUUUAGGGCGACGCUUCCUCCUGUCUGUGUCCUGAGUCCUGCCUUCCCUGGCUGGUCCUCCUUGCUUAGUCACCCAGAUCAUUCCCAGAAAGCUGCACCCUGGAUAUGGCUCCUCUCAUGUGCUGCCUGGAAAUGUCUCCUCUCUUCUCACCUGCUGAGAGGUCCUUCUGGGCAGGGACUCGGGCAGCUUCAUUCCUGCCUGCCCCACAUUUCCCUAGCCCAGGGCCUGGCCCAUUGCAGUGCUGAAGGAUGAUUCUGGUAAGAAACAAGGUACUCCAGCUCACAUCUUGCAAUGAUUAUGCCUCCCCCACUCUCCCUUCUCCUUGCAGUUCUCUCUCUUCACUGAUGAUUUUGGAUGCAAUUUAAAAUAAAAAUAUUGAUUAAAAAUGGAAACUAUAUAAAUAAAAAUAAAAACACUUAACAUCAAUGUGUCAUUUGAGCUUUAACAUAAAGAGAAAACAUGUGAAGAUGACAAUUUGUGGACAAUUCCAAAUUAGCAUGAAGUUCUCAGCUGGUAAGUAUCUUGACUUUGUUCCCCUCUCUUGGGGUCUGUGGAAUCCUGACCAGGCAUGUGGUGCAGUAGAAUGGGAGGAACUUGGCUUCGGCCUUGAUAAGCCUGGGUUGAAUCUUCCACUUACGGGCUUUCUGAAGCUCAGUUUCCUUAUCUGUGUAAUGGGGAGAAAGGCCCUACUUCAUGGGGUGAUUGUGAGGCUGAUAGAAAAGGGCACACAGGGGCAGGCCCAGUGGCUCAUGCCUGCAAUCCCAGCACUUUGGGAGGCCGAGGCAGGAGGAGUUCAAGACCAGCCUGGCCAACAUGGUGAAACCCUGUCUCUACUAAAAAUACAAAAAUUAGCUGGGCAUGGUGGUGGGUGCCUGUAGUCCCAGCUACUCAGGAGGCCGAGGCACGAGAAUUGCUUGAACACAGGAGGCAGAGGUUGUAGUGAGCCAAGACUGCAUCACUGCAUUCCAGCCUGGGCAACAGAGCGAGACUCCAUCUUAAAAAAAAAAAAAAAAAGUCAGGC